UCAUCAACCAUAGACUCUAAUUUAUAGCACCUAAUCUAAUUAUCAAUAUCCAACCAUUUGUCAAGUAUAGCUCGUUGACUAUGGAUUAGAUAAGUUAAUGACAUUGGGUUAACCUAAUUAAGAACAUACUUUAAUUUCUAAAAGCUAAAAACUAUUCUUAGGUUUAUGAGCCAGAAUAUAUAAUUGGUUUUAAUUAAGUAGUUGAUAUCUAAGAUUCAAGCUAGA
rnacentral:lncRNA from 1 species